UGACUGCUAUCGGAUUGAUACUAAGCCAUGCGAGUCAUUGUAGCAAUACAAGGCAGACGGCUCAGUAACGCGUAGUCACCUAACCUAUGGACGGGAAUAACCUCGGGAAACUGAGAAUAAUGCCCGAUAGAACACUAUACCUGGAAUGGUUUGUGUUCCAAAUGAUUUAUCGCCGUAGGAUGGGACUGCGGCCUAUCAGUUUGUUGGUGAGGUAAUGGCCCACCAAGACUAUUACAGGUACGGGCUCUGAGAGGAGUAGCCCGGAGAUGGGUACUGAGACACGGACCCAGGCCCUAUGGGGCGCAGCAGGCGAGAAAACUUUGCAAUGUGCGAAAGCACGACAAGGUUAAUCCGAGUGGUUUCUGCUAAAGGAACCUUUUGUCGGUCCUAGAAACACCGAUGAAUAAGGGGUGGGCAAGUUCUGGUGUCAGCCGCCGCGGUAAAACCAGCACCUCAAGUGGUCAGGAUGAUUAUUGGGCCUAAAGCAUCCGUAGCCGGCGCUAUAAGUUUUCGGUUAAAUCUGUACGCUCAACGUACAGGCUGCCGGGAAUACUGUAGCGCUAGGGAGUGGGAGAGGUAGACGGUACUCGGUAGGAAGGGGUAAAAUCCUUUGAUCUAUUGAUGACCACCUGUGGCGAAGGCGGUCUACCAGAACACGUCCGACGGGUGAGGGAUGGAAAGCUGGGGGAGCAAACCGGGAU
rnacentral:rRNA from 1 species